GCAAUUUAUCUCGAUCUCAUACCAAACAAACAAUCAUUGAUUUUUCAGCAGCAGCUUCUUUUCCUGCCACGGCCAGGUUAGUGUAAACUGUCGAUAAAUAACGAGACAAACUUGAACCAUUUAUUGCGUAUGGGCUACUGCUACGAAAAGUGCUAAGCUUGAAAAAGAAAAAAAAAAAAGACUCAUCUAAGCGGCACUUGUACGGACCUCUCUCGGAAUUUUACUUCAUUUAUGGCUGUCGAGCUUCAAGACGCAAAUGCUGAUUCAGAUCUUGUUUUUUGCAGCUAGAAGCGAUAUCUUAGCUGAUUCUUUGCACGAGGAGCAAUUCGACCAUUUCUUUUUCUUUACAUGUUUAGCAGCAAGAUCACCAUUCACGCUAUAUUGACACCAUACCUCAUUGCUCGACACAAAAGCUUAGGUCAUUUCUCCUGUUGGAUAUUAAAGUUUGGGGUCCAUUAUUUUCCUAAACUAAAGCAACAGAAUAACUUUCAUCCAAGCUUCACACAUAUUGCAUCCUCUGGUCCACCGACCCAGCUGCUCAGACAGUGAAGAUCUGGCCACAAACUUGGUCUUCAUUGAAUAUUUGAGCCUGUAAUUUGUUUUUUUUCUUGCUUAAAUUAGGUCCCAACUAAAGUAUUUCCAAACCCCAUGAUCAUACCCGAAGAUGGAUAUGGUAAAGUACUUUAUUGGUUAAAAAACAAAAACAAAAUUUUAGGGCAUUCAUCAUGUGCCCUUAAAGCCAAAAACCCACAUGAACAACACGAAAAUUAUGCAACUUUGUAGUACGUGCACACAGAUAAUCUCCAAAACCAAAACUAAUUUCAGAUUAUACAAGACAUUUUUGUACUAAAAUUAAGAUUCAAGGAUGGUGACUUCACAACUGCAUGCUGGGAAACAUUCCCCUGAGGCACAAGUGAUCUUCCAUGAACCUGAAAAUGCAAGCAAAGCCUUUGCCUUUUUCUUUGGUCUACCAUACUGUCACUGAUGCCCUUGUUGUUAUUAUUCCCUCUUUCAUUUUCUAUUUGGUAGAUAGAUAAAAGUAUAUAUAUAUACAUAAAUGUGCAACACAUUACUCGAGUGUGUUUGUGUGUGUCCCUCCACCUUACCCUCUAAUCCCUUCUUUAUAUGCUUUUAGUAAGCCAUCAAGUCUUUAAUUGAGCUUUUGCUUAGUGCUUUGAUUUUUUAUUUUGAUUUUUGUGAUUGAGGUUUGAAAAACUAAAUUAAAAAAAAUUAUUAAUUAUAAUCUUUUCAUAGCUAAAAUUUUUAAAUAUAGUUUUUAGUUUUUGAUAAGAUCAAUAAAUUAUAUUAAUUAUCUAAACAUUUUGAAACAAAAUGUAGUUUCAACCGUACUGAUCAUUCGACUUAACGGACUCUCUGUCUUUCAAUCGAGUUGUGUUGUGCAAACUCAUAAUUACGGAUUGUAGCUUUACUCUACUUUAUUACUGUCUCUUUACCUAUAAGGCCCAUCCACUCACUCUCUAUGGUAGCUUCAAUAGUCUCUCGACUCAUCUUUUCAGUAUCAGUUCGCCUCAUCUAGUAACUAAUUAACACUGUCUAUACCACAACUAGCUGCCAGUAUUAGCCUUUUCUCUUCAAAGUUUGCAUCUUUCUCUUCUCUUGUGAGGUAAAAUUCUUGACAUAGAAUUUAGCCAUAAAACCCCAAGAUUUAUUUGUGUUAGGAUUUGUAAAUUUUCUUUUAAUUCGGCUUAUUAUGGAGCUAUGACUCAUUUAUGUUGUGUGGCUUUCUGGGUUUUUGCUGAAGGUUCUAAUGGAGGCAUAUACUGCUGAAGUGAAGUCAAAGAUGGAAGAUUAUGAAGUUAUUGAGCAGAUUGGAAGAGGAGCUUUUGGUUCUGCUUUUCUUGUUCUUCAUAAAACUGAAAAAAAGAAGUAAGAAAUUCAGUUUUCUUGUAAUUUUAUUCUGGGGUUUCUGUUCUUAGCUCUAUGGAUCUUUUGCAUAUAACUAGAGUAAUCCACUUGAUUAGUCCAAUCAAAAUUUUCAUUUCCAUAUUAGCAUCCAAAAAUUGAUCCUUGGCAUUGAAGAAGAUGAACUAGUUUUGGUAUUUGGUAUUGGUUAUGUUAAUUUGAUUUUUCAAUUCAAAGCAUAAAUUUUCUUGAUCGAAAUUGCGAGUUUGGCUUAGCAGUGGUAGGUAGUGGUUGUGUCGGCACGAUCCUUUGUCUGCUAGCAGUCAUUGUCUUUAGUCUAAAUAGUUGAUUUUUUUUUUUUUUUGCUUUUCCUUAGGUAUGUGCUGAAGAAGAUUCGGUUGGCCAAGCAGACAGAGAAGUUUAAGCGCACAGCUCAUCAGGAGGUCACCUUCACUUUUUUACACCUUUUUGUUUCCCUGCACGAGGGAAUUUGGAUUAUUUUUUAUGUUAAUAAGGAAUUAGCUUUCGGAUAUUUUUCCAGUUAUUGCUUAAGACAUUUGUUGGAAAUUUGUCAUUUAAUUCAUUUUACUCAUUAAGAGCCUGGAAAACUUACUAGCAUAUUCAUGGUGUUCUGGUUUACUUGUCUUAAUAUCUACUUUAAGCUACUUAAUCAUGACAGAAUGUGUUAGGAGUACUGGUAUUCUUUUGUAUAACCUUGCAAACAAAUUGUAAAUGUUGUCGCUUUUCAUUUGCACUAGUUGCUGUUGUGGAAAUACUAGUCAAAUUGUGGAAACUUUUCCUCGUAAAUUUUAAAAGAUUCAAUGAUGAUUAUGAUUACAAUCACAACUUUCAUUUUUCAGUCAAAGCAUAAAAUACUAAAAUGUUGGUUGAAAUGUACUGCAGAUGAACUUGAUUGCGAAGCUAAAUAACCCUUACAUUGUGGAGUACAAGGAUUCUUGGGUAGACAAGGUAACACAUCAUUUCUGAAUGUUUUUAUGUAUAAUGUCAUGGUAAUUAUGAGCUUUGAGGCUAACAUUGAGUCAGAAUACCUCCUCCCCACCCACCUCUUGCACCUACAAAAAAAUCUUAUGUUUAUGUUUCUCUAUGCUAUGCAGGGAAACUGUGUAUGCAUAGUAACAGGCUACUGUGAAGGAGGAGACAUGUAAGUUUAUGUGAAAGCCAGUAUCAUUGUUCUGGAUGGGAUAAAAGGUGGAAUUUAAAUAUAUAUUUCUGAUCAGACACUUAAGAAAUGAAAUCCUGAUCUAGAAAAUUGACAUGUAAAACAUUCACAUUAGAAGAUAAUACAAGAGUAAAGCUAGAAGUUAAAUACAAUGUUAGAACACUUCAUGAAUGGCUGAAUGAAAAGCUCAUUCCUUUUCUUUCCCUCCAACCAGGGCUGCAAUUAUAAAGAAGGCCAGAGGAAUAUUUCUCCCAGAGGAGGUAAUUGUUAAGGUUUUUCAUGUAAUUCAAGUUUAUUGAUUAUUAGCUUCACGUUAUCAACUUUGUUCUUCUGUUUUGUUGUCCAGAAACUCUGCAAGUGGUUGGCUCAAUUGUUGCUAGCUGUGGACUACUUGCAUUCUAACCGUGUCCUUCACAGAGAUCUAAAGGUAUACUUACUCUCACCCAUGUGAUGAAAGAAAGAUUAUAAAUGGUUUUGCUGCUGACAUGAACUCACUGAUUGACUCGUUGAAUUCCAGUGUUCCAACAUAUUCCUUACAAAGGAAAAUGACGUCCGCCUUGGUAUGUAAGCCAAAAGAAAUACUAGUCAGAAGGAUUUUCUUCUUCAUCGAGUCUGUAUUUUAAGUCUUCUCUUCUUUUAAGAGUAGUAUAUCUUGUGUGCCAUGAACAGGUGACUUUGGACUUGCAAAGCUGCUCAACACAGAAGACCUUGCUUCUUCGGUAUGGACUUGAUUACAUCUCCAGUAUAUUACUAAUUUACUUUGUUUUAACUUGUCAAUUGAAAUUACACCCUUGAUUUCAAACUGUUACAACUUUUUUUCUCAACUUUAAUGUAUUUAAUGCCUGCAACUCAGAUAGUGUUUGGGUACCAUUUAGGGUCCCAGUAUGUUUAGAUUCAAAAUCCUAAGAGCUGGUGUUUAAACCAAUUGUCUUAAAAUGGUUCUUUUCAUCUUUCUGUUUUCUAUGCCUUUGCAUGUCACUUAGGUAGUUGGCACUCCUAAUUACAUGUGUCCCGAGCUCCUAGCAGAUAUACCUUAUGGCUACAAAUCAGACAUAUGGUCACUUGGUAAGAAAUCUGGAAGCAUGGCUUUGAAUUUAUCAAAUUUACUUCCGCACUGGCAAUAAAAUCUAUCUGAUGUUUCAGGAUGCUGUAUGUUCGAAAUUGCAGCACAUCAACCAGCAUUUAGAGCUCCUGUAAGUACAAGCCUGAUCUUCUGUUACGAAUGUAGCAUAAAUAUAAUUUGGUUACCAGCAUAGCACCUGCAAUUUACUUUAGUAUGAACUUCAAAGUACGAUAUAAAAAAUAGUAACUUGAACAGGAUAUGGCUGGACUUAUCAACAAAAUAAACAGAUCCUGCAUUUCUCCUCUUCCAAUUGUGUAUUCCUCCUCGCUGUAAGUGCUCUCUUUCCCAACUUUGUCUUAAAUUCCUUUUAUCUACUCUUAACACCAUAAUAAUAGUCAUGGUGUAUUUUUCUUCUCCUGAAUACCCAUGCAUGUAUCAUUGUAACUUUAGUGGUCUGAAUGUAUAAGAUGAUUCUCUUGGUCAAUAUAUAAGAGAUGAGUUUCAUGCCACAGGAAACAGAUUAUUAAGAGCAUGCUGAGGAAGAACCCAGAACACAGACCAACAGUAAGUUUGACCAAUCCAAGUUUUUAUUCUGUUAAUUUUAACACCACAAUCCAUUCUUAUAUCUUCACACUUUGACUUAAUAGGCUGCAGAAUUAUUGAGGCAUCCACAUUUGCAACCACAUCUUCUCCGUUGCCGCAAUGCAUCUUCAGUUUUUCUUCCAAUAUUUCCCAUAAACAACUCAAAGGAGAAAACCAGAAGAAAAUCAUUGCCUGCCAAACUCAGUGUUGGCAAAGACAACAUAGACAAGGACGUUGGUGCAUCAAAGCAGCCAGAAUAUGAAUAUCCAUUUGAAAGAAAUGUUGAAGCACAACGAAGCAAUUUACCUCAGAAUGACAAGCCAACAUCAAUGUCUAGCACAGAAUACGGCCUGGAAAACAAGACGGUUGAUCCUACAAGCUGUUCAGUGGAAGUAUCUGAUGGUCCUAAAGACAGCUCCACUGAUUCUGAAACAAGUGUUUGCAAUGGAGAGAAGCAAGCAGAUUGUAGCAGUCCACCUCAAAAGGAUGGCACUGAAAUUGAGUCUACCUCAGAGAGCAUCCCAAAUUCUCAGCAUGAAGCAGAUUGUAGCAGUCCACCUCAAAAGGAUGGCACUGAAAUUGAGUCUACCUCAGAGAGCAUCCCUAAUUCUCAGCAUGAAGAAGAAGAACCCAGUGCUCUGCAUUUUCAAGAUUUGCAAGAGGUUGAUGUCAAAAUUGUGACCUCAAAGGAUCAAGCAAC
rnacentral:lncRNA from 1 species